rnacentral:rRNA from 1 species
UACAGAGGGUGCGAGCGUUGUUCGGAAUUACUGGGCGUAAAGGGCGCGUAGGCGGAUAGUUUAGUCAGAGGUGAAAGCCCAGGGCUCAACCUUGGAACUGCCUUUGAUACUGGCUAUCUUGAGUUCGGGAGAGGUGAGUGGAAUGCCGAGUGUAGAGGUGAAAUUCGUAGAUAUUCGGCGGAACACCAGUGGCGAAGGCGACUCACUGGCCCGAUACUGACGCUGAGGCGCGAAAGCGUGGGGAGCAAACAGG